GCGCGGCCUCGGCGGAUUCCAGCGCCGCCGCAUAGAACGCGGCCGCGGCCGCGUUCGCCGCGACGAGCCGGCUGCGACUGCCGCGGUCGCGCU
rnacentral:tRNA from 1 species